UAUUCACAUUUCAAUCUGCAUUCCUCUUCCCUGAUCACAUAAAUUUCCAGGUGCCUUGAUUUGGAGAUAUGAAUCUCUGGCUUUGAACCUCCUGCCAGUAGGCUAGGGAGGACACCAGUACCUUCUGGAGUCAGUAUAGCAGCUUGGAGGGAUGUUGAAUCUGAGUGAUUCGAGCAACCACCACCUUCUUCCACCUCGACUCUUACCUUCUUCUCCAGUGUAAUGGGCAAAUGCGAGUCCACAUCUGCUUGUGACCAGAAGCUCACAUCUUUGCCUUGUGAAGAUCUUGAACAACCUUGGGAAUCUGAUGAAAGGUGAACGCUGUUGCCACAAGCGGAUUCCAGCCCUCCCCUCAUCUCUGUUACGGUCAUUCAGGGACAGGCACUGUGCUGAAUUCUAUGAACUGGAUCAACAAAAACAGACAGUCCCUGCCCUCACUGAGUUUGACAUCUAGACAUCUGUGCAGUAGAAAG